AACUUAUAUACUUGAGUGCUCAAUACACUAGUUCAUUUUGCACUACCUCUGCUUCAAAAUACGAUGACAAUGUUCAUUAUAUCGAUCAAACAUGUUUGGCGGCAUGAUGACAAUGGACGAUGACGGCCAACAGUCAUUGGGUUCCUAUGCUAGUUAUUUGUUGAUUUAGUCCAUUUCAGGUUGCUGCUCAAGUUUCAAGUGCAUUUGGAAUCAGCUUUUAGCAUCAGGUUUGUGUUUGUGGCUCUGAAGCUAUAAUCUUUUCUCAUUGGCCAACCUGCAUCUUUGUUUUUCUGAAGCAAUAAUCUUACUUUAUGUGCAGACGUCACUGUUAUAGUGAUUGGUGUUGGAACUGUGAGAGAAUAAUAUGUGAGGGAAGGGAAAACGAGUGAAUGUUAUAGAAGUUUAAAUUGGAAGUGAUUGUGUGCAACUAAAGGGAGAUGAAAUUAUUGGGGAAUAGUAUGAAUUGUUGAGGCUGUUACCAUUGUCCAUGCUUUUACUAAGAAGUCAUUUCCUGUUUGUGAAGAUUCAGCAGAGCUUCGAAACAAAGAAGAGGAAAAAAGGUUCUUGCCAAAAUUUUCCCUUGGUUUCGUUGUGUAUCGUUAAUCUCACGUGUUCUUCCUAUUUGGCCUAUUUUUGUCCACGUUUGCUUUACAAGUGGUUUCUUGUGAAGCAAUGUUUUCCACAUUGUUUCUAGGUGAUUUGUUUGCAGUUUUCUGUUAUGUUUUAUUGUAUUUUUAAUUUCAAUGUUGAUUUUCUUAUUUGUAAAGUGUUUGAUGAAAUCUAGCUUCAUCUUAUAUUUUGUAGGCAAGUGAAACUUAAUGUUUCAACGAUGAAUUUAGGGAUGCAGUCUUUGUUAUUUUUUACACUGACACAUGAGUAAGCAGUGCGCUACUUUGGUUGCUACGCAAAGGUGUUUGAAUCUAAUAUUUGCCUGUCCUUACAUGCUGUCAUAAAUUUACUCAAUGUUGUUCUACUCAUGAAAUUUUAGGCAAAAAAUGCUGGUUUUAUCCAACUGAAAUGGAUAAAAUUUGUUGUUUGAGGGUUCUUAUAGGGUAAAAAGAGUUUGUGAUGACUCAUCAAUCCUUUCCAAAACUUGAAGCUAAUGGUACAGACUAUUCCUUCAAAGUUGAUUGUGAUGCAAUUGACUUGUGUAGUGAUCUGAAUGUGUGGCUGAAACACAAAUUGAUGAAUUUGUAACUGAUCUUAUUGUUUCCCUACCUCCAACUGCAAAGGAUAUAACCAAUACUUUUGCAAGUGAGUGUAUCAAACGCUGCCCCACAGUCAAUACUGUGAAAAGAAAUCUAUCCCAGGUUUUUUAUGGUGUUGCUGAUUCU